GGGGGGCAGAGAUGUAGACCGGGAAGGGGGGGGGCAGAGAUGCUUCAGCUCAGACUCAAGACCAGCUGGGCAGGACGAAGGCCGGGGGCACGCAGUGUUGCAUUGUGGGUCCAUAUUCAUGUCCUUCUGUGUGUCCGUCUCAGGGUCGAUCUUUUGAAGUGGUCCUACUGGGAGAGGUGCAUGAUGGGAGAAUGAGGCCAGGCGCUCCACAACGUUGGUUAGCGUGUUAGCUGGGAGGCUUCUUAGCUUCUCAGUAAACACAGCCUGAAUCUCACCGGUCAGACCACGUUCACAGGGGGCGCUUCAAGAAUGUAGAUAUGAAUAAUAUAUGUUAAUAUAGAUGGAUCUAAAUGAAGACAUUAUAAUUCAAACGUAGUCAAUACUUUAUGUAAAUUCACAGGAUAAAUGCACACCUCACAUAAACACACACACACCCACACAUACACACCGUACGCAUGCAUUAAUAUGUGUUUAUAUUAAUUUGCAGUACAUAUAUACAAAUAACCGGCAACAUUAAAGUAGUCCUUAAUUCAUAUUCUUCGUAAAGAGAUUCUAUUCUAGAUGUGUGAAUCUCAGAAUUAGGUGCGAUAAUUUUCUUCUUCUGGAAGUUCUUCUGAACACUAAAACAUAAUAGGUGUUUAUUCCCUCAUAAAUUGUGUAUUUAUUAGAGCUGUCAAGCGAUUAAAAUAUUUAAUCGUGAUUAAUCGCAUUAAUGUCAUAGUUAACUCACGAUUAAUCGCGAUUAAUCGCAAAUUAUUUUUCUAUGCUAAAUAUCCCUUGAUUUUUUUUGUCCCAUAAUUCUUCUCAUUUUAAUUUUCUUAUCAACAUGGUGAAGUGCAUUGGCUUGCCUUGUGCAAAUUAUUUUUUAUUGAUAACAACAUUGGCAUAUACUGAUCAAAACAGGACGAUACAAAAAUAGAGCCUAUAGUGCAAUUAAACGACUGCUUUGAACAAAUGUCAUUUGAACAUAGCAGUCAGGCUACUGCUUCCUUGUUUUGAGCCAAAGAAUUAUUAUUUUUUUAUUUAUUUUUUUUAAAUAAAAUAAUUGCGUUAAUCGCGCGAUAAUUUUUUUAACGCCAUUAAAAUUGGUUUGCGUUAACGCCGUUAAUAACGCGUUUAACUGACAGCUCUAGUAUUUAUACAAGAUAGUUACGCUUUUGCGUUCAACCCAGUGAAUGGUAUUAAUGUAUUGAUGUAGCAGAAACCUGAACAUUGUCCCUUCCAAAGCUUGUUCCUCAUUAUUAGUAUUGUUAUGGCUUGGUGUUGCAGUCAUUUGCUAGUUAAGGCGUAAAUAUAUUUCUGUAGGGAAGUAGUUAAGUCGUUACAUUGGUGUGAAGGAAAAUGUGUGUGUCUAUCGUUUCUCCUCUAAUGCUGAUUGAAUAAUAACAUAAUUCAAUAAAAAACAGUUUCCCUCAUGAAUGAAACCUAUCUCUGUGACGGACUUGGCUCUGAUUUGCAUCAAAAACCAUUGAAACCAAUCGAUGAGCUCUGAUGAAUCAUCUAAUGCAAUGUGUAUCAAAUCAACCCCGGCUUGAAUUCAUAACACUGAACCAUAGUCCAGGGUCUGCCUCCGUUUAUAGAAGCGACUGAGGCGUUGGUCCUGGUUUGCUGGUUCGGUUCUCAGUUGAAUGAAUGAAUGAAUGAAUCGAUUAAUGAAUGAAUUCUUGAAUUUAUUAAUCAGUGUGAGUAACCAAUUGUAAAACACUCAUUCUCACAAAAAGUAGAUCUAUCUUUCUAUCCAGUGAGUGAAUAGUUAACAGAAGUAGAUGUUAGCAGUCGUCAGCGUUGAUUAGAGCUAACAGCAGCUGAGUGAAAGUCCUUCACCACGGUGUAGCUUUAAAACGGCUCCAGGGACAACGCUGUGAUCCUCUCUGAAGUGUAAGUGGGGAUAAUCCACUAAUCCCUCACCUUCUCUCUCCUGUUCUCCUUCUCCCCUCUCUCCUCUCCUUCCUCCCUUCUCUCUCCUCUCCUCCUUCCCUUCUCUCUCCUCUCCUAUCCUCCCUUCCUAUAAUCUUCUCCUCUCCUCCCUUCCUAGACUCCUCUCCUCCCCUCCUAGACUCCUCUCCUCUCUGGUCUGUUCACUGAACCUCCCCCAGCUGCCAUGUUGUGUUCUUCAGAGUGUCUCCAGAGUGUCUCCAGAGUGUCUCUAGAGUGUCUCCAGUGUCUCCAGAGUGUCUCUGUGUCUCCAGAGUGUCUCCAGAGUGUCUCCAGAGUUGUCUCUGUGUCUCCAGAGUGUCUCUGUGUCUCCAGAGUGUCUCCAGAGUGGAUUUUCUUUCCUUACAAUUAAUCCUAGAAUAAUAAAAUAAUAUGCAUUUGCCUUUCUUCAAACCUCAUUCCAAUCAAAGAUAUGUAUUCAAGAAUGUUUGCAUAUCAUCUUUAAUAUUCAGCGGGCUUUGUGGGUCUUUCUCUCUCUCUCUCGCUGUCUCUCUUUCUUUCUCCCUCUCUGUCUCUCUCUCUCUCCCUCCUCUCUCGCUGUCUCUCCCUCUCCCCCUCUCUCUCUCUCUCUCUGCCCCCUCUCUCUCUCUCUCUCUCUCUCUCUCUCUCUCUCUCUCUCUUGCUGUCUCUCUCUCUCCCUCUCUCUCUCUAUCUCUCCCUCUCUCUCUCUCUGCCCCC
ensembl:lncRNA